rnacentral:lncRNA from 1 species
UGAGGAGUGCUACCGCACAUGCAUUGUUAGGUUGAUGGCCGAUAUGAAACUUCAUUUUUUUGUGGGGGCGGACUGCGGAGUAGACUGUCAAUGAUGAUGGAAUGUUCGUGGUGCGAUGCAUGGUGUACUUGUACUAUGUUGUAAACCAAUGUAAAAAUGGGAUACUCGUUAGAUAAUAUGUCCUCUCUUCACUGAAUCAAUGGCUUGAUGAUGAUGAUGAUGUGUGCAACGCUAAUCGUUUUGAUGAUGCUUUAGGGCCUUUUUGGCUCCAGGGGCGAAGCUAGCAAUAAAAAUCAAGGUUGUGCACCACCAAAGCAAUACCUAAAUAUUUCUUUGCGAUAUAUGGUAAAUGUUAGUCAAAUUACUAAUGAAAUUUGCAUAUACCGUGGUGCCUGUUUACCAGGGUAAUAUAACAUGGCGUCGUCCUGCUCCCAUUGAUAUCAUCGUGCCGCGAGUUUGAUUGCGCCGUAAAUGCACACCGCCAUUUUGACAAGAGUUAGUGUAGAAUUACACGGUGAACGCCCAAACUUUUGGCAGGCCUAAGACGCGGCAGUAACCAAACAAGGGUACAACGUGCCGCCUCAGGCGUGGCGCGCUGUGGCUAUGAGCCAGACAUGCCCUUACUCGGCAAAAGGAAAAUCUCAACCCAAAAACCAUCCACCUCAACAAGAAACCACAUCUUGAAACUACACCACGAAAUACAUUGAUUUUUCAAAUCAUAAAAAAACAGUCAGUGCAUUAGAAUCUCUCUCCCCCAAUCUUGUUUCUUCUCUUGAGUCUUUUACCUGUAUGCCAUUAUGAAAGAUCGACCAAACCAGGAGACAACUAAAAAGUUGUUUCGCACCGCUGUGCCCAACUUCAUCUUCGGCUAUACCUGUGUACCAUUCCAUCCAUUUUAAAGCCUAACGGCAGUUAAGUAGCUUGGCAAUAGACUUGAAUGCCCUUAAGCCAUUUGGUCUUCACAAUAAAUUUUUCUUGUCCCCUAUGCCACUGACUGCCAAUUUUCUUGUCCCCCGAGCCUGGCGCUAGACCAACUGAUCAUCAUACUUGACCAACAUUUCAAAUUAAGCACAUACAUAUUAGUGUUUUUCACUCGCAACAAAUCACCCAACAGUAUUUCUGUCAUGGCUUAUCAACCAACCGUAUUUUUUGCCAUGGCUAGUCACGUACAGAAGAUAACAUAUAUGAAAAGAAUGACAACGUUACCUGUACAUAACAUAGAAACUUAUUGGAUUCUCACCAUGCGUACACAUUAGCUUUCGAAAUUACAUAAUAAUAAUAAAAAUCUAGAUGAGAUGAAUUUGUAUUCGUAUUUCAUUCAUUCACGGCCACUGCAAACAUUUCUCCAAGCCGAACAAGACGACCGUAUCUAUCUUCUGUGGCUGCGCCCCUGACCCCACCUGGCAGAGUCAGAGGAGAGCUGCUCCUCCGCUGAGCAAACCGCUCUGCUCCAAUCCGCGGCGAGCAGCAUGGCUCCGCGGCCGCCGCCGGCGGAGCUGAUGGACAAGCUUGUGCAGAAGAUCCUCCUCCGCAUCCCGCCAGACGACCCCACGCGCCUCCUCGACGCUGCGCUCGUCUGCAAGCGUUGGUGCCGCAUCGUCUCUGUCGCCGGCGCUCUGCUCCGAUCCGCGGCGAGCAGCAUGGCUCCGCGGCCGCCGCCGGCGGAGCUGAUGGACGAGCUCGUGGAGGAGAUCCUCAUCUGCAUCCCGCCAGACGACCCCACGCGCCUCCUCCGCGCUGCGCUCGUCUGCAAGCGUUGGUGCCGCAUCGUCUCCGCCGCCGGCUUCCGCCUCCGAAAACAAAUUGAGCAUCAUCACGAAUGUCUUGAAUCACCACACAGGAUCUUAAUGUCUGGAUCACACUGGAAACAAAUGUGUUGCUGCGACGACGGCGCUGGUAGUGCGAGAUCCCCGGCCUCGUGUAGACGCUUUAGCUCCUCAGCGUUGCCCACGAGCUCCCCGUCGGCGGAGCGCGGCGGAUGCGGUCCAGGAGCGCCGCCAAGGGCCGGGUGAUGAUCCGGCUGCUGCUGCUGCGCGGUCCCAGCCGCCGCGGCGCGUGAGGCAGCAGCUGCGGCUGGCGCUGGCGGCAGCGGAGGAGGCGCGAGCGCGGCGUGCGCCGGCAGGCCCAGGUCCCACCAGAACGGGUGCGCCGCCGAGCAUCAGCCGCGUCGAGGAGGUCACGGAGCCACUCGAUCCCGCUCGCCCUCGCUCCUCUAUCUCCAGUGACUUGUAAGGGUAGGAAGGACAUUAUGCUAUCUGGGACCUACGUGUCAGACCUCUUAAACCGAAGAAAACGAACGGAAUAGAGACGGAAUGACAUAGAGGUAUAGCCAAAGAUGAAGUUAGGCACAGCGGUGCGAAACAGCUUUUUAGUGGUCUCCUGGUUUGGUCGAUCUUUCAUAAUGGCAUACAGGUAAAAGACUCUCUUCUCUCUCCCUCUUCUCCCAAUCCAUGACCACGACAUGCGUGGGCGGGUGUGCAUAUGGCCCGCUGCACGUGUCCACAGCCACAGCCACAGCGGUGCGCCGCAAGCGGCGUGCGACGACGGUGUGCGCAAGCGAGGGGCACGGCCAGCUGCUGGAGGGCAGCAAGGUGACCGGCAUGUCGUGCGGCUGAUGCGACAGCGCACUGGGGCGGGAGCGGGGACGCGGCACGCGGCGACGGCGGGCACGGUGCGAGCGGAGCGCGCGCACGGCAAUAGUGCGCGAGCGGGGCGCGACGAGCCAGUCGCGUUGCCACGACAACGGCGUUUACGGACGAGCUCUCGGUGACGGGCUGACGGCAUGAGGGCGGGUGUGUUGCGAGCGGCGGCCGGCGGGAGUGACUGGCCGGGCGCACGGCAAGCGGGGUUGCGCGGCCGCGGCGAUGAUGAUGACGACGCGCACGGGAGCUGGCUCGGCCUAGGCUGCGAAGUGCCAACAGGCUCCUCGACGGGCGAAACACACGGUGAGCCAAUGCGUAUACGUGGAACAAAAUUAAAUUAAACCCGUGGCCAAUGCUUAUACGUGGAUCAAAACUAAGAGUCUGGUUUCUUUUGCUAAAUUUUAGCUAGCUAAACUUUAAACACAUUGACUAAAAGAAGCUAAAUUAGUUUAGUUCCAUUAGUCACCUAAAAGUAGUUAAAAUAAUUUUAGCUAACUAAAAUUUAGCAAGAAGAACCAAACAGGCCCUGAGUUUACAAGGCAUUUGGAGCACCGAACUCAAAUCAGCAGUUACCACAUGUGUAUUCAAGAACUAGGUACUCUAGGUUAUAUGGUCUUGUACAAACUUAGUAUAACAAUUUAUAUUAUGGAAAAGUUUCACUCAAACCUUAUUAAUUUAAUGAGUUGUUUUAGAAACUUAUUUGGGCCUUGUUUAGUUCCAAUUUUUUUUGCAAAAUGAGCACUGUAGCACUUUCGUUUGUAUUUGACAAAUAUUGUCUAAUUAUAGACUAACUAGGCUCAAAAGAUUCGUCUCGUCAAUUCCGACCAAACUGUGCAAUUAGUUUUUAUUUUCGUCUAUAUUUAAUACUCCAUGCAUACGUCUAAAGAUUCGAUGUGACGGGGAAUUUGAAAAAUUUUGCAAAAUUUUCUAGGAAGUAAACAAGGCCUUGGACAAGUGCAUUGAAGAAGUUGAGCAACUUACAUGAGAAUUUAUCAAGAAAAAAACUUAUUUUGGAACUUCUGCUAUCCUUCUUUCAGUCAAGACGAGUUUGUUCGUUUGAGCUUAUCAGCCGAAUAGUCAUUCAGCGAUAUUUUUUUCUUAUAAGAAAUCAGUCAACAAUACUUUCUGCCAUGACUUACAGGCCAAACAAUUGUAACGCUAUAAAUAUAUUUGUUUUAGGAUUUCCACAAAAUUGUCACUUUAUUAUCCGCAAGAAUUACGCGCAGCUGCCAUGUUUAUUGGUUCAGAAAAAAAGAUUUAAAAGUUGAUUCAAGAUUAGCCUACGUUUGAAAAUAACGACAUAACAGGGGUCCCAAAGCGAACUUUCACGCUCAACUUUCCCUGCAAGAAUGGAUCGCGAGACCCACCCCAGAAGAGUACCCGAAGACAAAGGAAGGCGAGGGGCACCAUCCCAGAAACCUGCAAGAAAUCGAAUCGAGUCAGGGGAAGGAAAAAAAAAGAAAAGGGGAAGAGCACGCGCCGCCGCCAUGGCCGCCGCCUCCUCCCGCCGCGCGUCGCAACUGCUGGGGUCCGCCGCCUCCCGCCUCCUCCAUGCGCGGGGAUUCGCCGCGGCGGCCGCCGCGGCGCCCUCGCCGGCGGUCUUCGUCGACAAGAGCACCCGCGUGAUCUGCCAGGGCAUCACGGGGAAGAACGGCACCUUCCACACCGAGCAGGCCAUCGAGUACGGCACUAACAUGGUACGCCCCCGCCGCGGCCAUCCCUCAUCUGUCUCCCUUUGAUGUGCCCCUCAAUGGCUCGAUCCGUGUGCUCCGUUCCGUGCUGGGCGAUUCUAGGGUUUGGUAGAGCUCGUGCUGUGCGAUCUCGUGGGUGCGCGGUCGCCGAUCUCCAUUUCCUCAUGUCUUACUCUUUCGUUUGGCUACCUUACAUUCCGAUUGAGAGCGACCCUUAACGGAUACUGUUGGAGGCAAAAUGUUCGCAAUUAUAACUGCUGCUUAUAUGGUACGAGGUCUGAAAUUGUAGUUUUAAGCGGCAAAAAACUAGGGCUCAUUAUGAGUUGUUGAGUUCAUUUGAGCCAGCAUUUGUCUGGUAGACAAGAAGCACAAGCAUUUCUCAGGAAGCAUAAGUGUAUUGUGGUUUGAGAAAAAAAGGAUCCUCAUAGGAAACCUGAUUUGAACCAGCUUGAGAUUAUGAGAAUCAUACCCAUCAUGAAUGCUUUGAAACCUUUUAAGCUUUUCUAACCUAACCAAAAAAAAAA